rnacentral:rRNA from 1 species
UACAGAGGUCUCAAGCGUUGUUCGGAUUCAUUGGGCGUAAAGGGUGCGUAGGUGGGCAAGUAAGUCAGUGGUGAAAUCUCCGGGCUUAACCCGGAAACUGCCAUUGAUACUAUUUGUCUUGAAUACUGUGGAGGUCAGCGGAAUAUGUCAUGUAGCGGUGAAAUGCUUAGAUAUGACAUAGAACACCAAUUGCGAAGGCAGCUGGCUACACAAAUAUUGACACUGAGGCACGAAAGCGUGGGGAUUAAACAGG